AUAUCUUGGCGGGGAUACCCGGAUGGCAGGUUACCUUGCAACCGGUGCUUGCAGCCCUGGCGGUGAUUCUAGUCUCUCUUGCCAUGUUGCAUGCUCCCAGAUUUUCUGCUGGUUUUUGCAGCCAUGGCGUUGUUGGACUCUCUUGUUGCCCGAGCUUAACAAAGAUCUGAGCCUCACUUUCUCCAUCAGUUUAGUUAAAUGAACAAAGCAACAGCUCCAAAGGGAAAGAACGAGGCUACAGAGAGUUUAGGGAUUUUUCGUUGAAAGGGUGGUUGCCUCUCUCUGCAUCAGGCAAUGAUUUCUCCAUUACUGUAAGAACCCCAAGUCCCCAACAACCCUUUUAUCAAUUUUAAUGAAGGGAGUAAUAGUAACAGUUUGUUUGGAUGGUUGUUUACAUAUCAUUACAAAUGGUUUCUAUACCCUUUCAUGCUAUGCAAUCUCUUUUCUCUAAUGCUUCUGCCGGAGCAUUGAGUGCUGGUGUUGGAAGCUGUGUGGUUGAGUAUAACCGGUGGCUUGAAAGAGGCAAUGAUGAUUUUUUCAAUUUUUAAUUUCCUUCUGAGCUGAUUAAUCAGGCAUUUGAGACCAUCCGUCCCGUAUCUUGGUGGGGCAUGCUCCCAGACUUUCUGGUGGUUGUUGCGGCCAUGAUGUUGUUGGACUCUCUUGUUGCCCGAGCUUAACACAGAUCUGAGCCUCACUUUCUCUAUCAAUUGGGAAACUAUUAUUAGGGCUUAUUGGGUAUUGAAGGUUAUGUUGAUAAUUUUUUUGGUUUCUUUUUUUGAGCAACUCAAUAGGGCAAAGAAAAUAGAGUGAUCGAAUCUUGGCGAGGCAAUCCAGAAAACUUGUGAUUUUGUGUCAUGCAACCGGUGUUUGCAGCCAUGAGGUUGUCUUCAUUCUCUUGUCUUAUCGACAGAUCCAUGCCUAAGUUUUACUCUUAAGGUGUCUUUGGUAUGGUAGAAAUAUUUUUCAUGAUGAAAUCAACAAUUGGUUACCAUUGUAUUCUAUGAGAAGAGAAAAGUUGUGAAUUUUUCAGGGGACAUAUAUCUCAAUGAUGAUUAUAAUGUCACUCUAUGGGUUAACAAAUUCAGGCACUGAAGAUGAUCCAAUCCAUAUCCUGGCCUGGCAAAUCCCAGGAUGGCAUGCAAUUGAGGCUCUCUCUUUUGCAUGCAACCGGUGAUUUUGCAGCCAUGGCGUGGUAACUUUCUCUUUUUAAAAAAGGGAGAAGGAUCAAAUAUGCCAUUGAACUUUGAGAAAAGGCUCAUCUAUGCCAUCCAUUAAAAGUUUGGCUCAUCUAUGCCAUUUCCAUUUGAGAAAAGGCUCAUCCAUGCCAUUAUUUGUUAAUUGAAAAAAGUUUCGGUUUUGCAAAACCAUUUAUUACAUGUGGUCAAUUAUGAUUCAUCCAUGUCAUUUAUUAAAUCAUUUUUUUAAUAGGAAAAGGCUCAUAUAUGCCACCGAACUUUGAGAAAAGGCUCAUUUAUGCCAUUUCCUGAAAGAGGCAGUGAUGAUACUUGUUCAUGGGGUCAUUUGCGACCUUUUCUAAGGCCGCUAUUUAAAUUUGUCCUCAUUUCCAUCCGGGCAUUGGGGCAUCCCUCCCGUAUCUUGGCUUGGCAAACACCGGAAUGGUCUGUGAUUUGAGGUUUCUCUUCACAUGCAAUUGGUUCUAUUGCAGCCAUGGCUUGGUUGCCCCAUCAGAAACUGAGAUCUGAGCCUCAUUUUCUAAAUUUCCUUUUGACGACCUGCUGAGCCGGGAAUCGAACACGCAACCUUCUUUAAUGGAAACUCAUUUUGCCUUGUUUCAAAGAGAAGUUGGAUUUUCCCUUCUCUUGAUGUGGUAAGUCUGUGGAAUUCUUUUCACAGGAGAUAACAACAUCCUUUUAAUGCCACCAUUGAUUAGUCUGCAAUGGAAGGUUGUUCUCUGGAUUUGGGAUUCUUCAGUUUUAUGUGUUAGACUGACGUGAUAACCAACUACCACCACGUCAUUUCUGCUCAAUGGAUGAGGCUUUGGAGGGGGAUCAUAUGAUUCUCAGAGCGGAUGACCUUCUUCGACAUGCAGGCAUGACAGGUUUCCAGAAAUUUCAGUGCUCCAGAUACAAAUCUGAGCCUCCAGUUGAGAGCAAAGCAUUAACAUAGUAAUAGUAGUACUUGGACCCUCAGUCUGAUUUAUGAGCUUAAUUCUAAGUAUCCUAAUAUCUUGAAAAUUAUGCAACCAUUUUCUCAAAGUGGCAGUGAUAAUAUUUGCUUAUCUGGGCUUUGGGAAUAAAGACAAUCAGACCCGUAUCUUGCCUUGGCAAACCCCAGUUGCUAUGUGAUUUAAGGCUUCUCUUUCACAUGCAACCGGUACUUUUGCAGCUGCGGCGUGGUUUCUUUCUCUGUUCCCCAUUAAUAGGUCAGAUCUGAGCCUCAAAUUUGCAAGUAGUCCUGGACAUUUGUUUGGUGGAAACCAAAUCCAUUUCACUUAUUUUGAAAGCCAGCUCAAUGAGGCAUCAUGAGAAACGCAAACUAUUUAUUUAUUAUUCAUUCAUUCAGUUUUGCUAGUAAGCCCACAAUUUUUAACUGUUGCAUGGCUGCAUGAACACUAAACAGCGAGAAUCAUACUAGAAAAAGGUGAAAUUGAGGCAGUGAUGAUAUUGUUCUUGGCAAACAAAAGCUACAAGUUGAGCAUAGCCUAGAAAGGAAGAAGAAUGAGGCAUCAGAGAAAUUGGGACUUUCUGAAAGGGUGGUUGCCCCUCUCUGCUAUGCCAGUGAUUUCUCCGUUAAUGGACCAUAAAAACCAACAGCCCUUCAAAAUAAACAAGAAAAAACAAAAAACCUUCAUACCAAACACACCCCUAUACUCUUCUUGCUCUUCCUCUUUCUCCUCUCUUUGUGCUGCUAAUGUUGUAAAGGGGCUAUGAUGAUUGAUUGCUUCCUUUCUGGGUUAUGUUCAAUCAUGGCAAUUGAGAAAAUAUCCGACCCGUAUCUUGGCAGGGCGACCUGGUUAUGGCUUUGAAGAGCAAACUGGUGUCUGCAGCCAUGGCGUUGUCACUCUUCUCUUGUUCAAAUACAGCAAAUCUGAGCCCUCAAUAACCCAUUACUACAACAACAUAUCCGGAAGUGGGGUCGGGGAAGAUGGUGUCUAUGCAGCCUUACCCCUCAAUAACCCAUUCGGGUAGGAAAAUCCAUUACGGAUUUCCAAUGAAAUUUCUGCUCUGAAGAAUGAGGCGUCGGAGAAUGGGAUUUUCUGUAAAGGGUGGUUGCCCAUCUCUGCGUUGCCAGUGAUUUCUCCAUUAAUGGACCAAAAAAACCAACAGCCCUUUGAAAUAAACAACAACAACAAUAAAAACUUCAUACCGAACACACCCCUAUACUCCUUUUCCUCUUUCUCCUCUCUUUGUGCUGCUAAUGUUUUGAAGGGGCUAUGAUGAUUGAUUGCUUCCUUUCUGGGCUAUGUUCAAUCAUGGCAAUUGAGAAAAUAUCCGACCCGUAUCUUGGCAGGGCAACCUGGUUAGGGCUUUGAAUAGAAAACUGGUGUCUGCAGCCAUGGUGGUGUCGCUCCUCUCUUUUGCUUUGUUCAAAUACAGCAAAUCUGAGCCCUCAAUAACCCAUUCGGGUAGGAAAAUCCAUUUUUGGUUUGCUUUGAAAUUUCAGCUCUGAAGAAUGAGGCAUUGGAGAAAUUGGGAUUUUCUGUGAAGGGUGGUUGCCCAUCUCUGCUGUGCCAGUGACUUCUCCAUUAAUGGACCAAAAAACCCAACAACCCUUUCAAAUAAACAAAAAGAAAGCAAAUUGAAAAAACUUCAUCCAAAUUCCAAACACCCCCUUUAUAUUCUUCUUGCUCUUCCUCUGUCUCGUUGUGCUGCUGCUGUUACUAUUGAUGUAAAUGGGCUGUGAUGAUUGCUUGCUUCUUUUCUGGGCUAUGUUCAAUCAUGGCAUUUAGAGAAGAUCCGACCCGUAUCUUGGCAGGGCGAUCCAGUUCGGUUUUGAAUAGCAAACUGGUGUCUGCAGCCAUGGCGGUGGCGCUCUUUUCUUUUGCUUUGUUCAAAUUCAGCUAAUCUGAGCCUUCAAUAACCCAUUCGGGUCGGAGAACCCAUUACGGGUUUGCAUUUAAAUUUGAGCUCUGAAGAAUGAGCCGUCGGAGAAACUUGGAUUUUCUGUAAAGGAUGGUUGCCCAUCUCUGCUUUGCCAGUGAUUUCACCAUUGAUUACCAGAAAAACCACUAGCCCUUUAAAAUAAACAAGAAAGAAAAAAGAAAAACAAAUUGUGAGCUUCAUCCAAAGACACCCUAUACUCUUUCAUUGUCUCUUUGUGCUGCUGUUGCUGAUGAUGUUGUAAAGGGCUGUGAUGAUUGCUUGCUUCCUUUCUGGUCUAUGUUCAAUCAUGUCAUUGCUCAAAGUUUCAUUACAAAUGUGUUGUCAAAAUAUUUAAUAUAUCUAAUAGAUCUUUCGUUAAAAAUAUUUACAGCAGUAAUUGCAGCUGUAUCAUAUAGUUCGUGCUUAAUUCUACUGCAGGUUGCCAUGUGGCUAUUUGGUGACCGGCAAGUGUAAUUGCAGUAAAUUCACUAGUUACACGUUCAUAAUGUCAGCAAGAGGAAACAAUGAGGCUAUGAUGAUAGUUUUGCUGAGCUCUUUGAGUCGGGCAUUAGAGUUCUGUAGCUGCUGUUUUGGCGGGGCAAUCUGAAUUUCUGGAAAUUUGCAGCUAUGGCUGGGCACAAAGAACUCAAAGCCCCAUGACGUAAUCUGAGCCUCUUGCAUCAUUUCUUCAUUACCAAAAUCAACUGCCCUCUUCUAGUCCUUUUCCGUUCUUUCACUUUAGAAAAAAAGAGAGCAUUGACAUCAGCAGCAGCAGUAGUAGUAGUUGGACCUCAUUCUGAUUUAUGAGCUCAGGUCCAAAGCACCUCAAAUUCCUCGAAUCCUAUGCUACCAGUUAAUCAAUGAGGCAGAUAAUAUUUGGUUAUCUUGGCUUAAAAAAAGGUUGUUCGGGUUUUUAUAGACGAGUAGAUCUGUAUCUUGGCUUGGCAAAAACCCAUGAUGAUGUGAUUUGAGACUCCUCUAUCACAUGCAACUGGCUCUUUUGCAGCCAUGGCGUAGUCUGCUUCUCUCUUUGACCCAUUCAUUAGUAGCCAGCUGUGAGUGUCAAAAUUGCAAGUAGUCCUUCUGGACAUUGUUUGAUGGAAAAAUCGGUUCUUAGACAGCUAGCCCAUAAAUGAGACAUCAUCAAUGAGAAAUGUGAAUAAUUUAUUUUUUCAUUCCGUUUUGCUGGCAAGGCCAAAAUGUGAAAUCUUGCUGGAAGAAAGUAGCAGUGGCUAGCUCUUUCUUGUAACUCUAGCUUGAGAAGAUGCACAUAAUUAAUUAUCUUGUACUGCUAUUGGUUCUUGCCUUGCUGCUGUGUGGCUGCAUUAACACAUAACCAGUGAUAAUCAUGCUCAAAAUAAAGAAAAUGUGAAAAAUUGAGGCAGUAAUGAUAUGGUUUUUGACAAAUAGCAAUAUUGGUUUGCAUUGUUGAUAUGAUACAAGACUCAGUAACUUGGCAGGGCAACCUGCUCUAGGUUGCAGCCAUGGCAUUUCUGAGAAAUGUAAGUACCUGAUUAUAGAGAGAUCUGAGCCUCAUACUUCUUGUUUAUGAUAUGUAAUAUCUUUGGAA